AGUGAACGCUGGCGGUAGGCCUAACACAUGCAAGUCGAACGGCAGCACAGUAAGAGCUUGCUCUUACGGGUGGCGAGUGGCGGACGGGUGAGGAAUACAUCGGAAUCUACUUUUUCGUGGGGGAUAACGUAGGGAAACUUACGCUAACACCGCAUACGACCUACGGGUGAAAGCAGGGGAUCUUCGGACCUUGCGCGAUUGAAUGAGCCGAUGUCGGAUUAGCUAGUUGGCGGGGUAAAGGCCCACCAAGGCGACGAUCCGUAGCUGGUCUGAGAGGAUGAUCAGCCACACUGGAACUGAGACACGGUCCAGACUCCUACGGGAGGCAGCAGUGGUGAAUAUUGGGCAAUGGGCGCAAGCCUGAUCCAGCCAUACCGCGUGAGUGAAGAAGGCCUUCGGGUUGUAAAGCCCUUUUGUUGGGAAAGAAAAGCAGCAGGUUAAUACCCCGCUGUUCUGACGGUACCCAAAGAAUAAGCACCGGCUAACUUCGUG
rnacentral:rRNA from 1 species